rnacentral:rRNA from 1 species
UACGCAGGGUGCGCGCGUUAAUCGGAAUUACUGGGCGUAAAGCGUGCGCAGGCGGUUUGGUAAGACAGAUGUGAAAUUCCCGGGCUUAACCUGGGAACUGCAUUUGUGACUGCCAGGCUAGAAUGCGGCAGAGGGGAGUGGAAUUCCGCGUGUAGCAGUGAAAUGCGUAGAUAUGCGGAGGAACACCGAUGGCGAAGGCAACUCCCUGGGCCUGCACUGACGCUCAUGCACGAAAGCGUGGGGAGCAAACAGG